rnacentral:rRNA from 1 species
GGGACACGUGGUAUCCUGUCUGAAUAUGGGGGGACCAUCCUCCAAGGCUAAAUACUCCUGACUGACCGAUAGUGAACCAGUACCGUGAGGGAAAGGCGAAAAGAACCCCGGCGAGGGGAGUGAAAAAGAACCUGAAACCGUGUACGUACAAGCAGUGGGAGCACGCUUAGGCGUGUGACUGCGUACCUUUUGUAUAAUGGGUCAGCGACUUAUAUUCUGUAGCAAGGUUAACCGAAUAGGGGAGCCGAAGGGAAACCGAGUCUUAACUGGGCGUUAAGUUGCAGGGUAUAGACCCGAAACCCGGUGAUCUAGCCAUGGGCAGGUUGAAGGUUGGGUAACACUAACUGGAGGACCGAACCGACUAAUGUUGAAAAAUUAGCGGAUGACUUGUGGCUGGGGGUGAAAGGCCAAUCAAACCGGGAGAUAGCUGGUUCUCCCCGAAAGCUAUUUAGGUAGCGCCUCGUGAAUUCAUCUCCGGGGGUAGAGCACUGUUUCGGCAAGGGGGUCAUCCCGACUUACCAACCCGAUGCAAACUGCGAAUACCGGAGAAUGUUAUCACGGGAGACACACGGCGGGUGCUAACGUCCGUCGUGAAGAGGGAAACAACCCAGACCGCCAGCUAAGGUCCCAAAGUCAUGGUUAAGUGGGAAACGAUGUGGGAAGGCCCAGACAGCCAGGAUGUUGGCUUAGAAGCAGCCAUCAUUUAAAGAAAGCGUAAUAGCUCACUGGUCGAGUCGGCCUGCGCGGAAGAUGUAACGGGGCUAAACCAUGCACCGAAGCUGCGGCAGCGACGCUUAUGCGUUGUUGGGUAGGGGAGCGUUCUGUAAGCCUGUGAAGGUGUGC